AUGUGCCACGUGUGCACUGGGGUUCUGAGCGCGCCGUCCGCGCCCGCCUGGCGAUGAGCGCAGUCGUUUUGUUAGCC
rnacentral:sRNA from 2 species